CAGUCGCCGCGGUAAUACGUAGGGUGCGAGCGUUAAUCGGAAUUACUGGGCGUAAAGCGUGCGCAGGCGGUUAUGUAAGACAGUUGUGAAAUCCCCGGGCUCAACCUGGGAACUGCAUCUGUGACUGCAUAGCUAGAGUACGGUAGAGGGGGAUGGAAUUCCGCGUGUAGCAGUGAAAUGCGUAGAUAUGCGGAGGAACACCGAUGGCGAAGGCAAUCCCCUGGACCUGUACUGACGCUCAUGCACGAAAGCGUGGGGAGCAAACAGGAUUAGAUACCCCUGUAGUCCCUGUCUCUUAUAC
rnacentral:rRNA from 1 species